CGCUGCCUUGCAUCUGUUGUACCUGUUCCUGUUGCCUUCCUUGCUUCUUGGAAUCGUGACAAGAGAGAAAAGUCGCCUCUGGUGGGUUGCUCAAAGCUGCGGGUCUGCAGCCCUGUGCAGGAAGUUGGCACCGAUCCCAGCUCUGACAGGCAGCGCGAAAGGCACCCCCAGAUUGUGGUGACGUCAUUUUCUCUCUCUCUCUCGCUUCUAAGUUUCUCAGGAGGUUGGCCAUCAACUUAGCUGGAAAAGAGAUGAAGAGACGCCAUGAUUGCAAGGCCUUUGUAUUCCACUGCAGAAUCCUACGGCAUUCUUAGAAAUACCGUUGGGCUUUCUAGUUCCAGAGGAAGAUUCUUUCCCAUGAUGCAUGUGACUCUUUCCUGUUGCAGUCACCUUCCAAUUCAGCUGGCAUGAAGAAAUCCAGCUGCUUCCUCUGUACCUUAAAUGUUAUCGCUUCUCGGCCUUUUGGCUAAGAUCGUGUGUGUGUCUCUCUCGCUUGCUCGCGCUCUCUCUCUGUGUAAUAUUAUUCCUACUUUUUCCCUCCUACCAGAUUUUUUUUCUAGAUAAAGAAAGCACCAUCUUUUAGCAAGGUGUUUUUAACACCACGUUAACAUCCUGGGCCUUUAUUUUAUUUUAUUUUGCCUCUUGAAUGCCACCUAAACUGCUUCAACUGGAUUUCUCUAGCUGCUAGAAGAAAAGCAGCUAAGCCUAAAAGCAAACCUCCUGACUGAAGCAACUUCAUUCAAGAGAUGUCCUUCCCAUGCUUGAAUAAUGGCUGCCAUUUCAGCCUGUCAGUCUGGAACCAAGCCAGGGCCCUCUAGAGACAGAAGCAUGCAUCUGACGCUAAAGAUCCUAGUUCAAAUACUAAGAUUUACUUUAUCCUCCAGGUUCUGAACUGUUUUUUAAAAUCCCAGUUUUUAUUAACAAAAAGACCAGUCAGCUUUCUUUCACCAAAUGUGCAAUAUCCUUUACAUUUCAACAGAACAACUACCGGUGCAACGUGUCUCGUAUACAUCUUUGCUCUUGUUGCGAUUCUGUAUUGUAAUGAAAACUCAACAAGCCUCAGUCUUGCAAAGUACUAUGGCAUUGGAAACUGAAUUGCGGUGAGACCAAAGUGGUCAUCAGUGGAAUUUCUCAACCAGCAGUUCAUUCUUUUAUGGCUUUCAGUUAGUCAAUGCUGUAUACAGAGAUGGAGCAUGAAUUAGUAACACCUCCUCCUAAGAGACAGCUAGGGUACCACGAAGUUGCUAUUCAUAGGUAGGAAGGAAGGAUACAGGGAAAAUGGGGUCCUAAUUACAAAUUAGCACAUUAAAACCUUUCACAUCAUCUUUGUGUAGGCAAAAAGAAAGAAGAGUCAGCAGGGCUGUGUACCAACGAUAUAUUUUCAGAAACACAGAGCUGUUUGUUACUGCCCAUGUUAUGCACGCCAUCAUGGUUCUGGUUAAGUAAGUUUUAAGGUUUUGACACUUUAAGCAGUAACUGAGAAACACUGUAAUUAGCGCCUGUCUGUAUGACCCAAACUACAGCAAUAGCCAUGUGAUGAAUAAUUCUAUAACUCCUCCCUCACAUUCUCUGGGCAUUUUUGAAAAUAUUUUGAGACUUUUUAUUUAAAUGAAUAUAAAUAUUAUAUAUUUUAAAAAUAUUCAUUUUAAUAUGUCGGACUAGAUCAACAUAAGAUGGGUACCUAUCCAAUAAUGUACAAAGAAAAAAAUAUGUAAUUUCUUAUAUGAGUUACAUUGACUAGACUAGAAGUUGUUCACAAUAUCAGCUAAGUCAAUUUCACAUCUACUUUGAAUUAUGAGGAAGUAUUUGUGUGAGGGAUUUUAAAAAAUAAUAACACCAUAUGUUGUAAUAUCUUGCACUUUGUUUUAUUCUUAUGUCAAAUUCAAAUCUCUUUAUUUCGGUCAGCGACCAGCAUGAGAUUGAAACAAAUGUAGAAGAGAAAACAAUCAAACUUCUCCUACAAACAAUAAAACCAAAUAAAUUUGGUUUAUAAAAACCAAAUAAAAGUCCUCCUGAACAUAGAUCAAGGUACUGAAAAGUGGACCCACCAGAACUACUAAAAAUACAAAAGUAUUUCAUACUUAUAAGAUUAUUACAUACAGAUCAAAAUUUGAACAGUUGCCUUUCCGACUCCUGAACCUGAGAGGGGUUAAACCAUUCAGGAGCUCAGGAAAAUUUUGUUGUUAGAUUUACUGAUGAUAUACAAGUGAUCCCAAUACCUGCUUACAAAAUACAGAAGUCUAAAAUUUGAUUAACAGUGGUGGUAGCCCUGCACACAGAAUGAGAAAGCCCGUACAGAAUCUUGGCGAGGAGUCAGUCAGGUAGAGGAGUUAGGAAUGGACUAUUGGGAUAAACGGCUGAAGCAAUAUGUGGAAGUUUGAAAUGGUUACAAUUAGGAUUUAUGAAAGAAUUGUUAUAGAUAGCCUGCAUAGUAGAAUAGCUACGGCAGAGCAUAUGUUUUUAAACUGUUUUAAUCCUAAGGGUUUUGUUGUCAAGGCAUAUUUUAUUGAUAGAAUAUUUGUUUUGAAGAUUCUUGUAUUGCUUUCCUACCCAGUAAGAAUAAACUACUUUUUUUUUUAAAGGUAGAAUAUUUGUAUAGCUCUCAUGUCUAAUAUCUGCAUACCAAAAAGGUGACAAAAGAGAGUGUUGCCCCACUGCAUAAGACCUGACCAACUCAUCUGGUGAAGUUCAGACUUCGUACUUAGAGAUGCAGUUAAAAGAAAAUUCUGAGAGAGGUCAUCUGUAGAGUAGAGGAAGAAGUUGCUUUCGCUGUCUCCCUUCUGCCCUGGCUGGAUAUUACUAUUUAUCUGUUGUCAGCCUAGAAGAAUACAACCUGAAUAGGAUAUGAAUAAGAAAAG